rnacentral:rRNA from 1 species
AUGGACGCCAGGCAUGCCACCCUGUGUUUCCUCCUAGUUCUCGUGUUGCACGGAAAUCCUACUGCAGAGGCCGAGGAUUGCAGAUACAGGAACGAUAAGCUGCCGCUAUGCCAGGACGUUUUGUGCAAGACACGGUGCUGGCUGGAGGGGGCGGUGGUGAACGCCGAAGUAAAAGAGUCCAGAUGCGUGGGAUCAGGGCCAGGCUCCACCUGCUACUGCCUCUUCUGCAAAAAAGAUUGA